UUAAUCCUGUGAACGAUUGUCUAAAAAGGAAUUUGGAGAAAGACUAUUCCGGUGAACAGCUUACAAACCACAGGACAAACCAUCUUCAGUGUAAAAUAAGGUGUGGUUCCAGAGAACAAAGGGAAAGCUCCAGUUAUAUAGGAAAAGUUCCCGCCCAAGGUUCCCAGUCAAGUUUGUUUAUAUAAAUGAAGGAAGGUUGAAACUUUCUUAGUUCUGAGUGAUUGAUGCAGCUGAAUUCUGAUUGGCUGAUACAGCUGAGCCCUGAUUGGUUGAGGAACAUGAGCUCUGAUUAGUUGGUUCAGGUGAGUCCUGAAAGUCCCAGAGGUAAAAAGGUGCAGGCUGAGAAACGGAGAGGGUGUGUGACCCCUAGUCAGCAAGUGGCUACUUAGCUGUGUUUUCAAUAUGAAGAAAAUAGUGUGAAUAAUCAACCUAAGUGAUUACUAAUGUUACUGGUGCAGUAUCAUAUAACAAAUGUGUUGCAGACUCUGUGGUCAUCAUAUGCUUUACCACUAAAGGUUAUGUCUGGAAAUACUAAACAAAAACUUUGAAGUUAAAAUUGAGUGUCCUGAGAAGAGUAAUAGCCGGCAUAGUUGUUUGAAUUCUUAAGGAGUCAAGACGACCAUGAAAAGGAAUUUGAAUUUUAUCCAUAAUUGAAAAGUUCAGUCAUUUACCUGAUUGAUAAGUAGCCUACCUCAUAAAAUGUGAACACAUUCAUAAAAAGCCCAAAAACUGGGGCGAGGGGAAGGGAAUUUGGAUAUGAUUGUCAUGCCAGCUAUCAAUGUAAUGCCUUUCAGUUCUAAAUUCACCCUUUUUUGCCUGCUCUGAAAAUGCAUUUGGAUCCUAUAAAUAUUUUUUCCUUUGCCAGCUGGUAUAAAGUUAAGCUCUAUCAGUAGAAAGAACUGAAGAGACAUUGCAAGAGGAAAGGAUUCUGCUUCCUGGUUCCUGUGUGCUUACUCAACAGACUCCUACAGCACAUGUGGCUUGCAUGUGUGGCUUCUCCAGUGUCCAGUUACUGCCGCCCACUCAGCUUCCCCAGUGUCCAGCUCCUACAGUAGUGCACAGCUGCUAGCAACACCAACCACCCAGCAACUCAAUCCCACCUGGCUCCACUCCCUCCAGACACCCUCACCAUCUGCAUGCCCCUCUGGGCAGUUUUGUGGUGGAGUACCCACAGUGAAAUACCUCUGUGACCCACUUCCCAGAACCCUAGAGGGCAUAUUUCCAGCAAGUUCCCCGAAGACAGAUUUCUAGCAAGUUCCAGAUAGUGGAUGUCUAGCAAGUUCCAAAAGGUGAAUUUCUAGCAAGUUUCAUCAGCUCAGCAACACAAGGACUUCUCUGUGAGACUUCAUUUAUUCAAUGACCCACAGCCAUGCCCUCUCCAAGUCCUGGAUCUCAGCUCUAGGAGGUGGUCUUCCAGAGGCACUCUAUCUCAGCCCUGGGGGUAGUGUCUCUCCUUACAUCUGCCGUUCUUAUAUUGUUUAGAGUUCACUUCACUUCUUUUAGCCUUGUUACUCUAAUCCCCUGUUACAGUUAAUAAUUAUUUACAUUAAACUUUCCUUG